AUUCCAGCUCCAAUAGCGAAUACUAAUUCUGCUGCAGUUAAAAAGCUCGUAGUUGAACUUCUGGUAGGACAGAUCCGGCCUUUGGAUGAAUGUCCAUUGUAUGCUGUGUGUCUUGUCUGGCCAUCCUUUAUGUCUUUUAGGCGUAAUCUUUCACUGUAAAAAAAUUAGGGUGUUUCAAGCAAAAGUUAUUUGGAAUAUAUUAGUAUGGGAUGAUAAGAUAGGCUCUUGAGUGCUACUUUGUUGGUUUAUACACUUAGAGAAUGAUUAACAGGGACAGUUGGGGGUAUUCGUAUUCCAUUGUCAGAGGUGAAAUUCUUGGAUUUAUGGAAGACGAACUACUGCGAAAGCAUUUACCAAGGAUGUUUUCAUCG
rnacentral:rRNA from 1 species